rnacentral:tRNA from 1 species
GAACGAAAAUCCGUUGGUUUAACAUGACCGUGAGGGUUCGACUCCCUCUAUCCCCAACG